rnacentral:rRNA from 1 species
ACUCCUACGGGAGGCAGCAGUGGGGAAGUAUUGCACAAUGGGCGCAAGCCUGAUGCAGCAACGCCGUGUGAGUGAAGAAGGUUUUCGGAUCGUAAAACUCUGUCCUAAGGGAAGAAACAAAUGACGGUACCUUAGGAGGAAGCCCCGGCUAACUACGUGCCAGCAGCCGCGGUAAUACGUAGGGGGCAAGCGUUAUCCGGAAUCACUGGGGCGUAAAGGGUGCGUAGGCGGCUUAGCAAGCCAGGGGUGAAAGGCAUUGGCUCAACCAAUGUAAGCCUUUGGAACUGUUAAGCUUGAGUGCAGGAGAGGUAAGUGGAAUUCCUAGUGUAGAGGUGAAAUUCGUAGAUAUUAGGAGGAACACCAGUGGCGAAGGCGACUUACUGGACUGUAACUGACGCUGAUGCACGAAAGCGUGGGUAGCGAACAGGAUUAGAUACCCUGGUAGCACAGAG